rnacentral:rRNA from 1 species
UACGGGGGGGGCAAGCGUUGUUCGGAAUUACUGGGCGUAAAGAGCUCGUAGGCGGCUUGUCACGUCGGUUGUGAAAGCCCGGGGCUUAACCCCGGGUCUGCAGUCGAUACGGGCAGGCUAGAGUUCGGUAGGGGAGAUCGGAAUUCCUGGUGUAGCGGUGAAAUGCGCAGAUAUCAGGAGGAACACCGGUGGCGAAGGCGGAUCUCUGGGCCGAUACUGACGCUGAGGAGCGAAAGCGUGGGGAGCGAACAGG